rnacentral:rRNA from 1 species
AAACUCAAAGGAAUUGACGGGGCCCGCACAAGCAGCGGAGCGUGUGGUUUAAUUCGAGGCUACACGAAGAACCUUACCUGGGCUUGACAUGGCGGUGGUAGCGACCUGAAAGGGGAGCGACCUUCGGGAGCCGUCACAGGUGCUGCAUGGCUGUCGUCAGCUCGUGUCGUGAGAUGUUCGGUUAAGUCCGGUAACGAGCGCAACCCUCGCCGUCAGUUACAAGUGUCUGGCGGGACUGCCCGUUGAACGCGGGAGGAAGGUGGGGAUGACGUCAAGUCAGCAUGGCCUUAAUGUCCAGGGCUACACACACGCUACAAUGGCCGGCACAGAGGGUCGCCAACCCGCGAGGGGGAGCUAAUCCCAGAAAACCGGUCGUAGUCCGGAUCGGAGUCUGCAACUCGACUCCGUGAAGUCGGAAUCGCUAGUAAUCGCGAAUCAGAAUGUCGCGGUGAAUACGUUCCCGGGCCUU